rnacentral:rRNA from 1 species
CAGCACGUUAAAGAGUUUACUCUUUAUGGUGGCGACCGGCGGACGGGUGCGUAACGCGUAUGCAACCUGCCUGACACAGGGGGAUAAUCCGAAGAAAUUUGGUCUAAUACCCCAUAAUACCGAUAUAGGCAUCUAUGUUGGUUGAAAGCUUUGGUGGUGUCAGAUGGGCAUGCGUUGUAUUAGCUAGUUGGUGAGGUAACGGCUCACCAAGGCGACGAUACAUAGGGGGACUGAGAGGUUAACCCCCCACACUGGUACUGAGACACGGACCAGACUCC